rnacentral:rRNA from 1 species
CCGAGUUUACAACUCCCAAACCCCUGUGAACAUACCUUAAUGUUGCCUCGGCGGAUCAGCCCGCGCCCCGUAAAACGGGACGGCCCGCCAGAGGACCCAAACUCUAAUGUUUCUUAUUGUAACUUCUGAGUAAAACAAACAAAUAAAUCAAAACUUUCAACAACGGAUCUCUUGGUUCUGGCAUCGAUGAAGAACGCAGCAAAAUGCGAUAAGUAAUGUGAAUUGCAGAAUUCAGUGAAUCAUCGAAUCUUUGAACGCACAUUGCGCCCGCUGGUAUUCCGGCGGGCAUGCCUGUUCGAGCGUCAUUUCAACCCUCAAGCCCCCGGGUUUGGUGUUGGGGAUCGGCUCUGCCCUUCUGGGCGGUGCCGCCCCCGAAAUACAUUGGCGGUCUCGCUGCAGCCUCCAUUGCGUAGUAGCUAACACCUCGCAACUGGAACGCGGCGCGGCCAUGCCGUAAAACCCCAACUUCUGAAUGUUGACCUCGGAUCAGGUAGGAAUACCCGCUGAACUUAAGCAUAUCA